rnacentral:lncRNA from 1 species
GAGAAAGAGAGAAUGUCCACUUGGGAGAGAUGAGGAUUCCAGUGCCACCACCCCGCUGGCUCGAUGCUCUAGGGGUAUGCGAGAACACGUAGUCAGACGAGGAGAGAGCAGUAGGAGUAGCAGUGUUAUCUGUGGUAAUCCAUGUUUCCGUCAGCGCCAGGAAGUCUAGGGACUGGAGGGUAGCAUAGGCUGAGAUGAACUCAGCCUUGUUGGCCGCAGACCGGCAGUUCCAGAGGCUGCCGGAGACCUGGAACUCCACGUGGGUCGUGCGCGCUGGGACCACCAGGUUAGAGUGGCAGCGGCCACGCGGUGUGGAGCGUUUGUGUGGCCUGUGCAGAGGAGAGAGAACAGGGAUAGACAGACACAUAGUAGACAAGCUACAGAAGAGGCUACGCUAAUGCAAAGGAGAUUGGAAUGACAAGUGGACUACACGUCUCGAAUGUUCAGGAAGUUAAGCUUACGUUGCAAAAAUCUUAUUGACUAAAAUGAUACAGUACUGCUGGCUGGUGGAGUAGGCUAGCUAGCAGUGGCUGCGUUGUUGACUUUGAACGUGUAGCUGGCUAGGUAACCUCGAUAGUUUCAGUACUACACCUUGUCAUAAUACAAAGCAACUUUGGAGCUAGCUAGCUAACAUAACACUAAUCAAGACGUUCCUUGUAAUGUAUUUAGUUUCUACAAUGCUGCUCGUCGGUAAUAGUUGGCUGGGUUAGGAAGAAUGGCGUCGCGGGGGACGGAAAUAGCUGGCUAGCUAACCUCGAUGUUACCUCCUCUCCUUGGUAGAGCAACAUGCUCAAUGCCUGUGUAUCUGAGGGAGGAGAUUGGAUGGUUAGCUUCAACAAAGUGAGCUGCUACUGGAUAGUCAAUGUUCUUACACCUGAUUGAGCUGCGGUGUUCAGCUAUGUUUUAAUUGUCUUUUUGUUUGUUCUACGUAGGCUUUUCCAUAUGAACAGGUGAUGAGAUAGAUUACUCCCAUGGUUUUGCAUGGGAUGAUACCCCUAACAGGGAUUUUUCGACCUGUAUGUGGGUGUCUGAAGAAGGAUGUUUUUAUAGUGCUAUUGCACUGUGCGCAUGAGCCACAUCUGUAGUUCCCAUUUGGGAUAGGUGUCAAGAGUGUCUGAGUGAGCUCAGGGGGCAUGUCAGAUCUCCAAUAUUGCGACCACGCUUAUAGACCACCAGUGGGGGUUCCUUGAAGAGUGGGCAAUUAUUUUUUUUGUCUAAUUGCACAAUAUGCCAGUCCUUUUUCAGGAUUGCUUUCAUUUUCUCCGAACCCUUGGUGUACUUAGUGCAAAAUAUGGUUGUGUUGUUUUUCUUCUUUGGUUGAGUUUUUAGUAAUUCCUCUCUUGGUUUUUGAGAUAUUCCUCUCUUGGUUUUUGAGAUAAUUUCAUCAUUGCCUCAUCAAGCGUUUUGUCCUUGUAGCCUCUCAUUUUGAAUUUAUCUGUCAUUUUUUUAGCAUUGCUGUCAAAAUCUGUCUGGUGGCCACAGAUUUGUUUAACCCUGCAUAACUGACUGUAUGGUAGACCAUUCUUGAGGGGAAGGGGAUGCAUACUAUUCACACAUAGCAAGGUAUUGCGGUCUGUGGGCUUUGUGUAUAAGUCUGUGUGUAAUGCAUCAUUCUCUUUGAUGAUCCAUAAGUCCAGGUAGUUUAUUUUUCUCUCAUCAGUCUGCAUGGUGAAUUUGAGGUAUUCAGAGCUCUCGUUUAGUAGAGUUUGGAAUUCAUUUAGUUCCUGCUGACUUCCUUCCCAGAGCACAAAGACAUCAUCUAUGUAUCUCUUCCAUAGGAGGAUUUUAGAAACUUACCCUGAAGAAGGAACAGUGAGUCUGAAACGUUGGUUAAUACCCAAUAAAUUACUGGGAGUUUAUAUAUGGAGUGUGCAACUUUAUUUUCAUAUAAAGCAUUUAAGUAAAAUACUUUAAAGUACUGUAUCUGUACUUUACUAUUUAUGUUUUUGACAUAUUUUACUUUUACUUAACAACAUUCCUAAAGAAUAUGAUGAUUUUUACUCCAUACAUUUUCUCUGACACCCAACAGUACUCAUUACAUUUUGAAUGCUUAGCAGGACAGAAAAUGGUCCAAUUCCCAUACUUAUCAAGAGAACAUCCCUGGUCAUCUCUACUGCCUCUGAUCUGGCGGACUCACUAAUCACUAAACACAAAUGCUUUGUUUUUAAAUGGUGUCUGAGUGUGACUCUGGCUAUCUGGUUUGCUUAAUUUAAGGAAUUUUAAGUUCAUACUUUUACUUUUGAUACUUAAGUAUAUUUUAGCAACUACAUUGACUUAUGAUACAUAAGUAUAUUUAAAACCAAAUACUUUUAGACUUUUACUCAAGUAGUAUUUUAUUGGCUGACUUUUACUUGAGUCAUUUUCUACUAAGGUAACUUUACUUUUACUCAAGUAUGACAAUUCAGUACCUUUUCCACCACUGGUUAUUUACGUUUUAGUUAAUUAGCAUACGGUCACACUGGUCACCCGUGGGAAUCGCACCCACAACCCUGGCGACUAAACCACACUGUGCUUCGUCAAAUAGCAGAACCAAAUUACCUGGUUUGAAGUUGAGAUUACAUUAAAAGUACAUGGUGCAAGUGAUCAAUGCUGUUCGAGAUUCUACAUAGACUACAGCAAUUGUGAAUAUCUCCACAGAUCCGCCUACUCCUACAGUAUGCAUGCUAUCUUGAACAUGUACGCUUUAUAUGAUUAACGUUACCUCAAAAUGUGGCCAUGGAUCUAUUACUUAUUUUACAGUUGAAUAAAAACUGUUACAUUACUUUGUAAGAUAACUUUAGGCUAUUUACUGUAUUACAAAAGUAAUAUUGAAUUGUGUUUAGUUGACAACGCAACCAAAUAUCAAUAUUUAAAGGAUAUAUUUACUGCUUGGAUAGUUCAAUCUAAGACACUGGCUUAAUUCCAUUCUUUAACUUUUAUUUUUGGUUGAGUUGGGUUUAGCGUUGACUCAAAACGAAUGAACGACAAGAAAACACACACAACUACCACUAUUGUAGUAUAGAAGUCAAAAUACCUAUAGCUAUGUUCCUACUUGGACAUAAUCAAAAACAUUGACACCACAGUGAUUCUCGUUCUAAGAGGAUGCUAUAAUAAAUAGAUAAUUGCGAUUUUCAGAUUUAUUUGAUUACUGGGAAUUUAUUUGCCGUGCAUAUAUGCUGAUAAAUUGAAUAUGAAACUAAAAUUGUGAAUUUUUAUCAAAGGCGUCUCUGUGGCGUCAGCUGGGAAUGUUCCACACAGAUGUUCAAUGAGCGAUCGAGUUCUACGAAACUCACUAGGCCUACUCUCAUUUUAAUAAAUUCAAAACCACUACUGUAAUGAAAAUAAAAGCCAAUAAACUGAAUAAUUACUGUCAAACUAUUAUUUUUAUUCAAUUGUUGAAUUAGGUCUAUUGUCUUUAAUUUUACAUUUCAUGUCUAUUCAAGUGGUUUUGACAAACUUUUAGGAUGUGAACGGCUACUAUGUCAUAAUGUACAUGAUGUCAUAAUGAAGCAUUAUUUUGUUAAAUUAAGACAAUCCAUAGACAGGUCAUUGACGCUCUUCCUGAACUGAGGUAGGACCUAUAAUUUAAUGAAAUAAUCUCAAAUACAUUACUUUUAUCUUAUGAGAACUUUAUUUGAUCAAUAACUGUCAAAAACUGUUAUAUUUUGUGAUUUGUGAUUUAAAACUAGGUCUUGUGGUCUUGUGUUUCUGUUUUCAAGAAUAUAUUGUUGAAACUUUAUAGUCAAAUCCUACGUGUGCAAAUUAUCUGGAAGUCCAAAUUGAAGCCAUGAAAGAAAGAGUGAUGUCCAGGACUAAGACACAAGAGACCAGUCAGAACAGUUCUGAGAACAGCCUGACAGACAUCCUCAGUGUCCGGAGUGCCAGUGAUAUUGUCCUACAGCCAAUGCCACCAGGGAGAAAGAAUAGCCGAUCCCACUUCCACAACAUGGAUGUGACUAAAGAGAGGGCUGACAUGGGAAGGCUUCCAAUGGCCACUCCACCCGUCAGCCUCCCAAUGCUCACUGUGACCUCUCUCACUGUCCAAAAGAUCAAAAACACCCUCAAGGUGACUGGCAUGCCUCGUCUACAGCUGGAGGGAGAGAUGGGUAGCAAGCGUCUGGGUCCGGUCAAAACCAAAACCGGAGGGAGCACAUUGACCUCCAGCCACAAGCAGGAGCCAGAGGUUAAAUCCAGCAGACCAUCUGGUAGCAUCUCUAGGAGGCCCAAUGUAUGCUCCACUGCAGCCAAGGCAGUAGCUCCUUUAUCUGGGACUCCAUGCAGCCAGUCUGAGGUCAGGAUCCAGGCCAAUCCUCUCCAGAGGUCUAACAUCCAGGACCAAAGGCCCCGCUCUCCUCCUGCUCAGGCCAGACGGUCUCUGUUCGACGGCAGCCUCUUGCAGCCGCCAUGUUCUCCUGUGGAUGUCCUCCAGCCGGAGGUCCAGGCCAGCAGAAGCCUGGCUCGACCCAAGACCGGGAUAGCUAGGAUAACAAGACAUACUGAUGGAAGCACUCUGAGGUUCCCUAACCAGACCUUAGAGCUUAUAAACUCCAUGGGUAGGAGGGAGAUCACAAAUUCUUUCCCUGUGCUGCCAACCAUUGCAGUGUCAGCCUCACCUGCCCAGAUGGCUAUCCCAUUGCCUACCCCAAUGAUCAGCCAAGUGCCUGAUCUUCUGGUGCCUACUCCAUCUGCUUCUCCGGUUCCGUCCAGCCGAGUGCCUGCCCCACCUGCCUCCCCAGUGCCAGCCCGGCCUGCCAACACCAGAUCACGUAGGCAGGUGUCGGAGAGGAUCCAGCGCUUACAGAUCCAGUCUGCUAUGAAGGACCAGCAGCUACCAGAACAACUGGGUGACAAUCAAAUCAUAUUACCCUCUGAGCCCCUGUCCUUCAGUAGCACUGAGAGGAUGUUCCUCUGUGGUCCACCUUUAGUCUGCCACCCAGCUAACGUAGGUGGAGAUGAUGGCUGUCACCCCCUGCCCAGACCUACGCCCAGCCACACAGGUCUCACCGACCACUCCGCUUUACUGACCAGUAGGAGAGCCGUGCAGGCGGGCGAGAAGUGUCCCUUUGAAAUCCUCUUGACCCCACUGGUAGAACAGCCUCCUAUCGAGCGGUGGCACAUGCCCGCCUCCCGUGCCAAGGCCGAGCGGGAAUGGGAGAAUAGCCAACGAGGGCGCAGGAAGAGAGUGAAGCCCAUUCACUGGGACGUUAACUUUAAGUCUGGGCCUUUCUUCCCAGUGUGUGUCGCUCCAUCACUGCCCUCGAUCUUGGAGGUGGAUGAAGAGUCUCUUUCUGAAGAGAUGGAGCAAAGCCUGUUGUAGGGGGGGUCGCACACACACACACAACUUAUUUUUUAUUUAUCUUUAUUUAAAUAGGCAAGUUAGUUAUAACAAAUUCUUAUUUACAAUGACGACCUACCCCGGCACAACCCUAACCCGGACGACACUGGGCCAAUUGUGCGCCGCCCUAUGGGACCAGUGCCUUAGACCGCUGUGCCAAUCGGGAGCCCUAUUGAGACCUCAUGGCCUCCCAUGGACCAGAGAGGAUCAGCCAGCAUCAUCCCAGCGUCUGCCCUGCCUGCCAUCCUAGUACCUCCACUGCCCUUUCAACCCCAAAGCACAAAGGGCAGGUGACAGAAAUGAUCCAGCGCCCACCGAUCCAGGCUGUAGUACAUGAGCAGCAGCAGCUACUGUCAGAAGUACUGUUGGAACAGACUUUUCCUAUGAGACCCAACAGGAGCCACAAGCUGUCAAAGUACUUUCAUCCCUGGGGUGUGUAGCUUCUCGAAGAGUGUUCUCUUCCUGAAGAUGGACUGCUUCAACCCCUUGGGAGUAUCCAGAGUAUCUAGUACGCUGGUGUGAUGAUAGAAUAUGUCUAUCAGUAUCAAUUAGAGAUUAAUAUUAAUCCACUUGUUAUUCUAGUUAGGCAAAUGUUAAUUUAUCAUCAGCAUGUUCCAAAGAUUUCUGUUUCUAUAAAGUUUUAUUGCAGUUGAAAAUGAUCAGUGGUGUGUGUUGUUGGUUUCUUGUGAGCUAUGAAGUAUACCCUUUUAGUAGAAUGUUUAUUUCUUCAUUGGAUUUGUUGACCAAGGAGAAGAGGUAAGUGCUGACCGGACUAAUAGAAGUGAAGGUCUGAUUCAAAUUUGUAUUCAUCCGAAGGAGGCACAUCUGACUCACACCUUAGUGCAAUAAUUCUUCACAUUUUCAAUGUAUAGCAACACUGACAAAUUCUCAGGUGGAACUAUUUGUACUACUGUAUUGGAAAUGAGGAUCUAUCCAAAAACAGUGUUUAUGAAAUGCGAGAAUGCUGAACAACAUUUCCUGACCAAUAGGCUUGUUUGUCGUAAUAUUUGGCCAAAGUUUAAUUUGCUUGAGUCAAGAGGUCCUUUCUCAACUUGCACAUGUAAGGGAAGCAGACAGCUGCAGAUUUAAUAUAACUGCUGGGUUACGCGGUAACCAGGUCUCUCUUGCCAAAAGAACCCACUUUUGCAAGAAAGACCUGGAUAGUGCCACAUAACGCUUAUGUAAAUUCUUCCUUUUAUACAAAUAAAAAUGACCCCUUUAUCUGGAAUAGAUGUAGUGUUGCCUUACAUUUGUGAAAUGUGAAUGACAUUUGCUUAGCCUUCAAACUGUGCUUCGUUUAAAAUACUGUUGGUUGGACUGCGAGGCAGUCAAUGUAUCGUUUUUCUUUUGAUCUGAAGCCUGACACUGUACGACACGUCGUGUCUCAUUCUCCUUCUUUUGAAUAAAGCUUCCUCUGCAUGAUUUUAUUCUAA